CCGCCCUCUCCUCAUUUACGCGCUUGACUCUUUGCCGUGUCUCUUUCUUGCGUCAGUAAUUCAAGCUAGCCCACGUAAAUUGAACCAGAAACUAGUUCACUGGAGAGUUUCUUUGGGAAGGAUAAACAAGACAACGAUGAGGCAACAGAGGGGUCACAGGUUGCCUGCAAAAAGAAAGCUGUAUUUCAAAGAAAUGACCAAAAUUUCUAUUUGUGUUAUGGCUUCAUCCCAGCAGGUGAUUGACAAGGCCCACAUCAUUGAGGUAUGCGUUGACCGACUUCCUAAUGUAGCCGUGAAACCAUAAAAACGGGCUCAUGGGGUCAAAUCAUCCAGCGUUGAAGAAAAGCCCUUAGAAUAUUUUGAAAGAAGAAAACGGGAACAUAGAGGACAGAAAGAAAGACCACUACUUGCACAAAUAUGUCCGCGCUAAAAGCGACAUUCCUGGUCGUGGAUCGAAUUGGUAAAGCUAAGAAGCUACUCUAACGAUUGAGGAAGAACUGAUUUUACACGCAAUUAAGGACAUUUGGAGCAAACUUUUCCAAGAAGUUGCAGUAAAAAUAAUAAAAAAAAAAAAGGUUUAAAUUAAACAUCCCGCUUUCAGCGACCACAAUAAGAAGAAUAAAUUAAAGCAUCGAGGCACAGUUACUUGAGAGGAUGAUGCAUAACGGCUAUUCAUUAUGAAGAGAAUUCAUGGUCAUUUCACUAAGCACAUUGGACAACAACAGCAACAGCAGUUAACCCCCCCCCCCCUCCAGAAAAUACACUGACGCAUGAAUAGAAUGUUUAAAAGAAGUUGAUUGAGUGCAGACGUAAACCGCUAGCCUCACAUUAGCUUGCUGCUGACUGGUUAGCUGCUAGUUUUCCUGUGUUGUCACGCACCUCUGGACAUCCCGUCAGCUACCAUCGGACAUGAAAUCAACUAUGGUUCCGAAGGGACUAGAUGGAAUCUCAAAAGGAGCGAGAGCAUUUUCCACUCUAACUGAUUUUCAUCCAGUCUCAACACGAUAAGGAGCACAGAAAAAGGACGGACGAACGUUGGGAUUUCAAGAGUCGACGACACGCAGGUGGAGUGAGCGCAGAGCUGACGGGAAACAGGCAGAAGCAAUAAUCAGAUGUGAGGCGAAGAAUAGAGACAAACAUAACCAAAAGGGGCAAAUAAUCAAAUAAUUCAGCAGCACCACACCGGCGGAACUAUAAGCUCAUCAUUGACAGCCGGUCCUGUUUUCCUACAACACCAAACAACCACAUUUUUAUUCCGAGCUCCCAAAUAAGCGGCCAUUAUUUCAUUUCUCGGUCAUAACGCAAUAAUGCAAAUGUUUGGAAUGUCUCCAUUCUUUCAUUCUACAACCUCUGCCUACAGUUGCCCUGGUUACCAGCACGGCUCCUCAGCGCGAAAACAUAUUUGAUUAUUUUUGCCAGUGACUAAGACCACUAGACAAGACUAAAAUUGUGCACUGCCCUUCAGCAUUUUGACUAUUUUUAUUUUCAUACCACAACGCUCGGAUGGAAAAUGUUGAGAUUAAUUUGUAGUGAAGUGCAGUUCUGUUAACGAUCUCUGAUGGUGGAAAUGAUGAAUUUUUGUUUCAUGAAAUAUUUGAUUGGAGAUUGUGGAACGUCUCACAACUUUACUUUAAUCUGUGGCUUUUAUGGUUGCUGCACGCCAUUGAUAAUACGAUCAAAAAUGUAUUGUUAUUGCUCGUCGUUCACCCUUCCAUUUUCUGUUUUGGGGGGGAUUUGGACAGAAUUGUAGUAAACAAAAUCUGACCUUGAACCUUACUGCAACUGUGGGAACAAAAUGGAUUUUACCAAGCAGAUGUUAUUGUAAGAUAAGAUAAAUAACAUGUAGCCAAAAAGAAUAAAGGGCAGAAAAGCGGAACAUCACAAACAAGGCACGCCAAACGGGCGCCAACAAGACGUCGCCUAGUCUUGGGCUGACAGUCCGACGUUUGCUGCAAUGUGCUUCACAAUGAUCGUGAGACAUCAGUCAGAGACAAGCUUAUUUAAAUUUGGGUAAGAUGAGUGAUCCAACCAGAGAAAAGAUGAUUUGCAUGUCACAUAUUGACGAGAAAUAUCAGGGAGAAAAGACCAACCUGAAAAAGGAGAUUAAGGGAGUUUCCAACCAAGUUAUCCGAACCCAUUUGGUACGCCGCAACUGUGUAAAAACCGCAAGUGCCCACAUUGAAACCCAUAUUGCAACAAGAGAUAUUUAUUUAAGAAAGACGAUACACAGAGAGUUUAACGCUAACGGUAGUGCCGCCCUAAUGCUAGCGCCGUGCUAAC